rnacentral:lncRNA from 1 species
GAGGUACUUUUUCGAUUCUAUUAGGUUGCCACUACAUACUGCUAGAUAUCACUGAUAGAUUGUGAGAGCUCACUAGAGUUGCUCAAGAUCAACAACCCUUGGUGAGUCAGAGUGAAAUCAUUCUGACUCAUUGAAAAGAGUUUCAAUAUACUAUGAUAGAGAUCAUUGUAUAUCUCACUACCAGAUAGAAUUGAACCUAUGAGG